rnacentral:rRNA from 1 species
CCUGUGAACAUACCAAUUGUUGCCUCGGCGGAUCAGCCCGCUCCCGGUAAAACGGGACGGCCCGCCAGAGGACCCACAAACUCUGUUUCUAUAUGUAACUUCUGAGUAAAACCAUAAAUAAAUCAAAACUUUCAACAACGGAUCUCUUGGUUCUGGCAUCGAUGAAGAACGCAGCAAAAUGCGAUAAGUAAUGUGAAUUGCAGAAUUCAGUGAAUCAUCGAAUCUUUGAACGCACAUUGCGCCCGCCAGUAUUCUGGCGGGCAUGCCUGUUCGAGCGUCAUUUCAACCCUCAAGCCCAGCUUGGUGUUGGGACUCGCGAGUCAAAUCGCGUUCCCCAAAUUGAUUGGCGGUCACGUCGAGCUUCCAUAGCGUAGUAGUAAAACCCUCGUUACUGGUAAUCGUCGCGGCCACGCCGUUAAACCCCAACUUCUGAAUGUUGACCUCGGAUCAGGUAGGAAUACCCGCUGAACUUAAGCAUAUCA